AUACGGGGGGUGCGAGCGUUAUUCGGAAUUACUGGGCGUAAAGAGCGCGUAGGCGGUCUUUUAAGUCAGGUGUGAAAGCCCGGGGCUCAACCCCGGAAGUGCACUUGAAACUAAGAGACUUGAGUAUGGGAGAGGGAAGUGGAAUUCCUGGUGUAGCGGUGAAAUGCGUAGAUAUCAGGAGGAACAUCAGUGGCGAAGGCGACUUCCUGGACCAAUACUGACGCUGAGGCGCGAAGGCGUGGGGAGCAAACAGGAUUAGAAACCCCAGUAGUCC
rnacentral:rRNA from 1 species